AACGCACGAGACCUGCGGACCUGCGGAGGGAUCAUUAACGAUUUCGGUGUAAAAAACCGUUUUCUACCUAUGUCUACGCGUACCACUUGUUUCCUCGGGGGGCUUGCCCCCCGCUAGGACCCUUUAUCAAACCUUUUUGUAAUAGCAGUCAGCGUCUGAUACUACGUUAAUUAUUAAAACUUUUAACAAUGGAUCUCU
rnacentral:misc_RNA from 1 species